CGCCGAGGCAAAAACGCCAUCCCUCCGCAGUUUUCCUUCGGCGAGGAAGAUGCCGAGGGGGAAAGACAGUGUGCGUUUGCGCGUGUCUACGAAGCUGUAGCUGGAACAGCUCCUCUUCCUUUUGGGAUCGCCAAAGGAUCACCUUCGCCUAAGAGGUCCUAGCCCACGGAGAAAAAAGGCGAACGGCAAGGGAGGGUGCUUUGCUCAUGAUGCCCAAGCCUCACUCAAAAUGCACAGACCCCAUUUCAGUUCAGUUUGGCUGAAUUUGUUACUAGCAGUGAAAAACAGUUUCCAGUCUACACUCAAGACAGGUAGAGCACUCAUGGUUCCUGCUCUAUUGGUCAGAUACAAUGCAAUCAAGAGAUGACACCCAGUUCUAAUAUAUGGCCACAUUUGCACAACUAAACAAGAACAACAGCGUAUGCUGCUGACUCAACUGGUGGUAUAGUGUUCCUGAGGUACUGCUGUCAUCAGAAUGCUCUUAUCAUGAACUCUGUGCUGCCAAUCAUUUAUUUACAUUUUUAGGAAAGUUAAUUGCAAACAUUAAAAAUAUAUUCCUCAGUCCCAUUGACAAGUAGGCUUUACAUAGCUCUUUGCACUGGAAUUUGAACGAAUACUCUAAUAUAUAUUGUUUUCUCUACUAUUCCUUUCUGUGAUUUAAUGUCUGGGAAAUUAUUAUAUGUUAUUUCAUUUCUUUUCUACUUUUGUAUCUCCAGUAUAAAUUAAUUUAUUUUUAAAGAGAACA